rnacentral:misc_RNA from 1 species
GAACUGCGAUAAGUAAUGUGAAUUGCAGAAUUCAGUGAAUCAUCGAGUCUUUGAACGCACAUUGCGCCCCCCGGCAUUCCGGGGGGCAUGCCUGUCCGAGCGUCAUUGCUGCCCUCAAGCCCGGCUUGUGUGUUGGGUCGUCGUCCCCCCCGGGGGACGGGCCCGAAAGGCAGCGGCGGCACCGUGUCCGGUCCUCGAGCGUAUGGGGCUUUGUCACCCGCUCGAUUAGGGCCGGCCGGGCGCCAGCCGGCGUCUCCAACCUUAUUUUUCUCAGGUUGACCUCGGAUCAGGUAGGGAUACCCGCUGAACUUAAGC